UACAGAGGGUGCAAGCGUUGUUCGGAAUUAUUGGGCGUAAAGCACGUGUAGGCGGCUUGUUAUGUCGGGUGUGAAAGCCCUCAGCUUAACUGAGGAAGUGCGCCCGAAACUGGCAAGCUUGAGUGCCGGAGAGGAUAGCGGAACACCCGGUGUAGAGGUGAAAUUCGUAGAUAUCGGGUAGAACACCAGUGGCGAAGGCGGCUAUCUGGACGGACACUGACGCUGAGACGCGAAAGCGUGGGGAGCAAACAGG
rnacentral:rRNA from 1 species